rnacentral:rRNA from 1 species
GACGAAGGAUGCAAGCGUUAUCCGGAUUCAUUGGGUUUAAAGGGAGCGUAGGCGGCCUGGUAAGUCAGUGGUGAAAUCUCGCAGCUUAACUGCGAAACUGCCAUUGAUACUGCCUGGCUAGAGUACAGAUGCUGUGGGCGGAAUAUGACAUGUAGUGGUGAAAUACAUAGAGAUGUCAUAGAACACCGAUUGCGAAGGCAGCUGACGAAACUAUAACUGACACUGAGGCUCGAAAGUGCGGGGAUCAAACAGG